rnacentral:rRNA from 1 species
AGAGUUUGAUUAUGGCUCAGGACGAACGCUGGCGGCGUGCCUAACACAUGCAAGUCGAACGGAGUGAUGUUUCGGAUGAUCACUUAGUGGCGAACGGGUGAGUAACGCGUGAACAACCUGCCUUCCUGAGGGGGAUAACACCUGGAAACAAGUGCUAAUACCGCAUAAGACCACAUAUCCGCAUGGAUGAGGGGUCAAAGGAGCGAUCCGCAGGGAGAGGGGUUCGCGUCCCAUUAGCUAGUUGGCGGGGCAACGGCCCACCAAGGCGACGAUGGGUAGCCGAGCUGAGAGGCUGAUCGGCCACACUGGAACUGAGACACGGUCCAGACUCCUACGGGAGGCAGCAGUGGGGAAUAUUGGGCAAUGGGCGCAAGCCCUGACCCAGCAACGCCGCGUGAGGGAAGAAGGUCUUCGGAUUGUAAACCCCUGUCCUAUGUGACGAAGGAAGUGACGGUAGCAUAGGAGGAAGCCCCGGCUAACUACGUGCCAGCCGCAGC